rnacentral:rRNA from 1 species
GAUGAACGCUGGCGGCGUGCCUAAUACAUGCAAGUCGAGCGAACGGACGAGAAGCUUGCUUCUCUGAUGUUAGCGGCGGACGGGUGAGUAACACGUGGAUAACCUACCUAUAAGACUGGGAUAACUUCGGGAAACCGGAGCUACUACCGGAUCAUAUUUUGAACCGCAUGGUUCAAAAGUGAAAGACGGUCUUGCUGUCACUUAUAGAUGGAUCCGCGCUGCAUUAGCUAGUUGGUAAGGUAACGGCUUACCAAGGCAACGAUGCAUAGCCGACCUGAGAGGGUGAUCGGCCACACUGGAACUGAGACACGGUCCAGACUCCUACGGGAGGCAGCAGUAGGGAAUCUUCCGCAAUGGGCGAAAGCCUGACGGAGCAACGCCGCGUGAGUGAUGAAGGUCUUCGGAUCGUAAAACUCUGUUAUUAGGGAAGAACAUAUGUGUAAGUAACUGUGCACAUCUUGACGGUACCUAAUCAGAAAGCCACGGCUAACUACGUG